rnacentral:rRNA from 1 species
AACGAACGCUGGCGGCAUGCCUAACACAUGCAAGUCGAACGAGACCUUCGGGUCUAGUGGCGCACGGGUGCGUAACGCGUGGGAAUCUGCCCUUGGGUUCGGAAUAACAGUUAGAAAUGACUGCUAAUACCGGAUGAUGACGUAAGUCCAAAGAUUUAUCGCCCAAGGAUGAGCCCGCGUAGGAUUAGCUUGUUGGUGAGGUAAAAGCUCACCAAGGCGACGAUCCUUAGCUGGUCUGAGAGGAUGAUCAGCCACACUGGGACUGAGACACGGCCCAGACUCCUACGGGAGGCAGCAGUGGGGAAUAUUGGACAAUGGGCGAAAGCCUGAUCCAGCAAUGCCGCGUGAGUGAUGAAGGCCUUAGGGUUGUAAAGCUCUUUUACCCGGGAUGAUAAUGACAGUACCGGGAGAAUAAGCCCCGGCUAACUCCGUGCCAGCCGCCGCAGUAA